GAUGAAAAGAAACUGUGCUCACCGAGGCUGUGAGAAAAAUGGAGAGGAUUCAGGCAAAAAAGCUAACAAACUUGACUUCCAAAGGAUGGACACACAGCCAUGAGGGAAAAUGCUGGCCAGAGAAAAGCAAUCCCUCAGAGAAAGCAAUCCAAAUAUCACCCAACAGAGCUGGGCCACUGCCAACAUCUCCAUCAGCAACUUGGAAGAGUUGUCUGUCUUCCCAACACAAUAAAACUGGAGACAUGCGCCUCCGGAGCUCCAGCCAGCACAGUUACAUGAAGCCAAAGCACAUUAUCACUUGUAGGUUGCAGGAUUUAUGACCAACUAUGAUGUAAAAUAAAGACAGAGAUACUUUGCUUGUCUGAAUUCAUCACUCACAAAAGACAAUAUGUAUUAAUCAUAGAGAAGAGUUGUAUACAUUGGACUUUUAAAAAUGAAAACCUUAGCAAACAGAGUAGAAGCAGAUGCC
rnacentral:lncRNA from 1 species